GUGGACCACUAGAGCACAAGCAUUUAACAGCAAACAUUGUCACGAUGGGCUUAUGCCCCUCGUCACUGAGCUCACAGAGUAGUUGCUUUGGGAAAAGAGGGAGUAAAAGGAAAGUUUCUCCCCACGGAGAAAUGGUGGAUUACUAAUAGAGAGGUAGCCAACAUCCAGAGUUUUGAGGAGAAAGCAGAGAAGAGGUGCAAGACUCCUCUGCAUAUCUGUGAACCUGUCUAACCAGAACACAGCAUAUUUCCCAGGCAAGUUUCAGAAAGAUUUUGUGAUCUCUUGUUAAGAUAGGUGCACAAAAGUGCCUGGAGGGUUGUUGGUUUUUUUUUUUAAAGCGUGAGUAACUUCUCUUAUAUAGCAAACUGCUGCUUUUAAUAACUCCUGAGUCCUUGAAAGUGAAGCAUGAACAGUGAGACAGAAAGAGCAGGCAGUCACGGCAGCCGCCUCUGAGAGGCUGCGCUCGAGGCCACUUUGCCUCCAUUUCAGGCAGAUGAGAAACAAGUCAUCACUGCUGCUCCAGCACUCCUGGGAGACGGGUCCAGCAAAUGUCACCAGAUGUCCUGGUCAGACACCCAGGAAGCAGUGCUGAGGUGCACGGCAAUGGACCUCACCCUGAGCAGUGUGAGAGGCCACGGAUAAUCACUGGGUGGGUGGGAGAAGUCUUUCCUCUGUCCUUGACACGUCACGGCCUUUAAGGCAAUGCCAGGCAGGGUGAGGACUGCCUGGAUAUAAUGUACCAGAGGGGGGUUUGCAAAUAUUUUGUAAGCAUUUUGAUAAAGGUGGCUGGCUCCGCCCUGUCCCUCAGCACCACUCCAGCCUGUGGGGACUGAGGAGGCGCCAGACGGAGGGACACAGGGAGCAGGGGCCGAAGAGGGCACAGGCCGCACAGCGAGAAGGACACAGAGGCUUGGGGCUGAGCUCUCCAUGUCCCACCACCAUGAUAAAGAUGGCUUUCGCUGCAGCUGCCUCUAGAGGGCUCCUUGCGUUGUUGGAGAGACAGAGCCCUUUGUUCUCGCUUCACGCAGUACCGCCGCCACAGAAACGCUCCGUGCUUUGCUUUGCUUUUUAAUCUUCCUUCUGCUCCCUCUAAAAUCAUCCAUGGCUUGAUCUCCAAACUGAAGGUGUGAGGUGCGAGGGGGUCUGUUUGCCAUCGGGGAGGCACCGGGGAGAGUCCCCUUUGCCAUCCUGCAACCCUCUCAGGGUUUGUGGCCUUAAAAACCGUGCUCCUUUGCUCUUAAACUCUACCUCUCGUCUGCUCAUUCUGGCACUUCUGCUGUGGGGCUGACAUGCUGUGGGUAUUGGUCCUGCUGCCCAGGGUGGGCUGCCACAAGCACUGAGAUUCAAGAUCAGUGCCACAGCCAGGUUUUGGCAUUUGGACAGAAUUUCUGCACUCAAAAAAAGAGAAAGCCAGACUAAAGGUGUUAUUAGUCCCAUGCUUCAAUCAGCCAGAUAAACAUGCAUCUCCAGACACUUGCCAAGCCUUCAGAGGUAUUCAGGACUGAUUUUCUUCUCCCGGGCCAGUUGCUAGAAAUCACAUAAUUAUAGGGGUUGAAAAAGGGACCUCUGGAGACGAGACCAUCAAGCUCAGCCCCCUGCUAAAGCAGGUUCCCCACAGCAGGUCACACAGGAAAGUGUCCAGGUGGGUUUUGAAUAUCUCAAGAGAAGGAGACUCAAUGACCUCUCUGGGCAGCCUGUUCCAGUGAUCUUUCACCCCCAAAAGAAAGAAGUUCUUAAACAUCUUCCUGGUGUUAGUGGACCUUCUUGUGUACAGUUUGUCCUUGUUGCCCCUUGUUCCAUUGUCACACACCACUGAAAAGAGCCUGGCCUCAUCCACUUGACUCCCACACUUUAGAUAUUUAUAAACAGAGAUGAAAUCUUCCCCUCAGUCAUCUCCUCCCCAGGCUGAACAGCCCCAGGUCUUUCAUCCUUUCCUCAGAAAAGAGACGUUCCAGGUUUCUCACCCUGUUUGUGGCCUUCCACUGGAUUCCAUCUAGGAGAUCACUGUCGUUUUUGAACUGAAGAGCCCAGAACUGGACACAGUACUCCUGUUGUGGCCUCACCAGAGCACAGUAGAGGGGGAAGAUUGCCUCCCUCGGAUUGCUGGCCAUGCUCUUCGUGAUGAACCCUAGGAUAACACUCGCCUUUUUGGCCACAAGGACACAAGGAAUGCAUUGAAACCAGAACCCACCCAUGUCAGAGACAAGCCUUGGGCAUACUGAGAUAUUAUGUACACCUUCCUGCUUUACAUGUCCUGCCUGGCAAUUGAGUGGUUCUCCCACAUGAAGAGGACAACAGUGAACAGUUAAGCAGUGAAAUCCAUCAGGCUGAGGAGCAAAAUAUUUUGGGUGCAUCAUGGAGCUGAUUUAAUGAUGUGGGAUGCUGGAGGUGCUUCUUUUCAAGCUCAUCUUUUCUGCGUUGGAAACUGAAAUACUUGCUUCAGAGUUUAAUAGUUGGAGCGUGAUCCUGAUGCUACAAAAGCCCAAACCAAACUUUCUGCUUUUUUUAAAGAGCCAGAUCUACCUUUAUGCUCUCUACAGUGUUUCUGGAUAUUGAUAACUUUCAUAGCAGAAACAUUAGGAACAAGUACAUCCAUACUGGGAGUGUCUUUUCUUCUGGACAUCUCUCCUACAACUCAGAUGUGUUAUGUUGGGAACCUCAACCUUGAGAAUCCAAAGAUAGAGUUGUACAAAAUCUGUAGAAACUUGGGAAAACAUCAAUGUUAGCCUCUGUCACUGUGAAGUGCAUGUAACUCUCAUUUGAGUAUUUUUGCUUCUUACUGUAUGCUGUGUGUAUCCUAAUAUUUGUCUUGCAUUACAAAUAAACAGAGAACACAUUUGUGUACUAAUUUUGUUAGCAAUCCCCUCUUUUUAAUAUAUCUAAGCACAAGACUGAUAAUUACGAUUUAAAAAAACCUACUUUUCAUAGCUUAGGGGCUUAAACUUUUAUAUUCUUCCUUUAUUCUGAAUGUAUCCCUCAGGAAACAACUCUCUGUAAUAAUCACCUUGC